GCGGCUCUCGUUAAUUUGUACAAAUUUAGAGAAAGAGAAGAUGAUGUUAGUUGCG
rnacentral:tRNA from 1 species